AACGUUGCGUCAGCAACGGCCCGUAGGGCGAGCGAAAGCGAGUCAUCCUGCACGACCCAUCA
rnacentral:sRNA from 1 species